rnacentral:rRNA from 1 species
UGGGGUACUCGAGUGGCGAACGGGUGAGUAACACGUGAGUAACCUACCCUUGACUUUGGGAUAACUUCAGGAAACUGGGGCUAAUACCGGAUAGGAGCUCCUGCUGCAUGGUGGGGGUUGGAAAGUUUCGGCGGUUGGGGAUGGACUCGCGGCUUAUCAGCUUGUUGGUGGGGUAGUGGUUCACCAAGGCUUUGACGGGUAGCCGGCCUGAGAGGGUGACCGGCCACAUUGGGACUGAGAUACGGCCCAG